rnacentral:rRNA from 1 species
GAUGAACGCUGGCGGCGUGCCUAAUACAUGCAAGUCGAGCGAACAGACGAGGAGCUUGCUCCUCUGACGUUAGCGGCGGACGGGUGAGUAACACGUGGAUAACCUACCUAUAAGACUGGGAUAACUUCGGGAAACCGGAGCUAAUACCGGAUAAUAUAUUGAACCGCAUGGUUCAAUAGUGAAAGACGGUUUUGCUGUCACUUAUAGAUGGAUCCGCGCCGCAUUAGCUAGUUGGUAAGGUAACGGCUUACCAAGGCAACGAUGCGUAGCCGACCUGAGAGCGUGAUCCGCCACACUGUAACUGAGACACGGUCCAGUCUCCUACGGGAGGCAGCAGUAGGGAAUCUUCCGCAAUGGGCGAAAGCCUGACGGAGCAACGCCGCGUGAGUGAUGAAGGUCUUCGGAUCGUAGAACUCUGUUAUUAGGGAAGAGCAAAUGUGUAAGUAACUAUGCACGUCUUGCCGGUACCUAAUCAGACAGCCACGGCUAACUACGUG